rnacentral:rRNA from 1 species
UGAACUUAAGCAUAUCAAUAAGCGGAGGAAAAGAAACCAACAGGGAUUGCCCCAGUAACGGCGAGUGAAGCGGCAACAGCUCAAAUUUGAAAUCUGGCUUCGGCCCGAGUUGUAAUUUGUAGAGGAUGCUUUUGGUGAGGUGCCUUCUGAGUUCCCUGGAACGGGACGCCAGAGAGGGUGAGAGCCCCGUAUAGUCGGCCACCGAUCCUCUGUAAAGCUCCUUCGACGAGUCGAGUAGUUUGGGAAUGCUGCUCAAAAUGGGAGGUAUAUCUCUUCUAAAGCUAAAUAUUGGCCAGAGACCGAUAGCGCACAAGUAGAGUGAUCGAAAGAUGAAAAGCACUUUGAAAAGAGGGUUAAAUAGUACGUGAAAUUGUUGAAAGGGAAGCGCUUGUGACCAGACUUGUGCCGGGCUGAUCAUCCAGUGUUCUCACUGGUGCACUCAGCCCGGCUCAGGCCAGCGUCGGUUCUCGCAGGUGGACAAAAGCUCCGGGAACGUAGCUCCUUCGGGAGUGUUAUAGCCCGUUGCUCAAUACACCUGCGGGGACCGAGGUUCGCGCUCUGCAAGGACGCUGGCAUAAUGGUCACCAGCGGCCCGUCUUGAAACACGGACCAAGGAGUCGAGGUUUUGCGCGAGUGUUUGGGUGUAAACCCGCACGCGUAAUGAAAGUGAACGUAGGUGAGAGCUUCGGCGCAUCAUCGACCGAUCCUGAUGUAUUCGGAUGGAUUUGAGUAAGAGCGUAUAGCCUCGGACCCGAAAGAUGGUGAACUAUGCCUGAAUAGGGUGAAGCCAGAGGAAACUCUGGUGGAGGCUCGCAGCGGUUCUGACGUGCAAAUCGAUCGUCAAAUUUGGGCAUGGGGGCGAAAGACUAAUCGAACCAUCUAGUAGCUGGUUACCGCCGAAGUUUCCCUCAGGAUAGCAGUGUCGUUCUUCAGUUUUAUGAGGUAAAGCGAAUGAUUAGGGACUCGGGGGCGCUAUUUAGCCUUCAUCCAUUCUCAAACUUUAAAUAUGUAAGAAGCCCUUGUUACUUAAUUGAACGUGGGCAUUCGAAUGUACCGACACUAGUGGGCCAUUUUUGGUAAGCAGAACUGGCGA